rnacentral:rRNA from 1 species
CCUACGGGAGGCUGCAGUGGGGGAUAUUGCACAAUGGAGGGAACCCUGAUGCAGCGACGCCGCGUGGGUGAUGGAGCGUUUCGGCGCGUAAAGCCCUAUCGGCAGGGAUGAAGAUGACGGUACCUGCCCAAGAAGCAGCGGCUACCUACGUGCCAGCAGCCGCGGUAAUACGUAGGGGGCAAGCGUUAUCAGGAUUUACUGGGGGUAAAGGGGGCGCAGACGGCAAUGCAAGCCAGUAGUGAAAGCCCGGGGCGCAACCCCGGGACUGCUCUUGGAACUGCAUGGCUGGAGUACAGGAGGGGCAGGCGGAAUUCCUAGUGUAGCGGUGGAAUGCGUAGAUAUUAGGAGGAACACCGGGGGCGAAGGCGGCCUGCUGGACUGUGACUGACGUUGAGGCCCGAAGGCGUGGGGAGCAAACAGGAUUAGAUACCCCGGUAGUC